GUGAUGACCAAACGAACACGCUAAUUAUACACGACAAGGAUCCUCUUAUUCUUCUUGCGAGUCAUGAUCCCUUUUACAAAUUUAUAAACCUUGUGAUAUUAUCUUCACUAAUAUAAAACUUCAUAUGGGUUGCACAAGUUUGCAAAUAUUUCUAGCUUUCGACCAAAAGCCCAAAAUAAUCUACCCCUCUGCCAAACAAAGUCUUCCAAAAUUUUCUUAUUUGCUUCCCAUUAGACCAUUUGUAGCUAUAUGCAUUAGGUUCUUUUGAAAGAGAAAGAAAAAUAAGAGAACUGCAUCAUGUUAGUCUUGA